rnacentral:rRNA from 1 species
CAGCAGCCGCGGUAAUACGUAGGUGGCGAGCGUUGUCCGGAAUUAUUGGGCGUAAAGGGAGCGCAGGCGGACAUAUAAGUCCAUCUUAAAAGUGCGGGGCUCAACCCCGUGAGGGGGUGGAAACUGUAUGCCUUGAGUGCAGGAGAGGAAAGCGGAAUUCCCAGUGUAGCGGUGAAAUGCGUAGAUAUUGGGAGGAACACCAGUGGCGAAGGCGGCUUUCUGGACUGCAACUGACGCUGAGGCUCGAAAGCCAGGGGGGCGAACGGGAUUAGAUACCCGUGUAGUCCCUGUCUCUUAUACA